CGCUGCCGGCCAGGGCCCGCCCUGCCCCAUAGGAAGGGACCCUGGGGGCGGGGCUGCCUCGGCUUCGCCCCCAGGAAACCACGUGGCCUGGGGCGGCCCGACGCCGGCUGCGCUGGAUCCACGCCGAAAGAUGGGCGCCCGAGCCGGGAGGGAAGCCUGGGGAGGACACCUGGGGGGCACGGCCCUGACCACGCUCAGACCCAAGAGGGCGGGGAGGGGCGCAGGGCGCGUGGGGGGCGCGGGCGCACUUACUCGAGCUCCUUGAAGCGCUCGCGGCCCGCCGCCACGUACUUGCCGCCCGCCUGCAGCGCGUCCAGCCCCAGCACCCGGUGCCCACGCGUGGGCGUGAAGAGGCGGCGCACGCCGAACGGGACGUCCACCUGCUCCGUGAGCUGCUCCAGCAGCGCCUCGAAGGUGGCCGCGCGGCGCCGCGACAGCACGAACUUCUUGCCCACGUAGAACGGGUCCCCGUUGCGGUACACCACGAUGGUCUUGGCGGGCGUGGUGUCCACCGGCGCGGAGGGCCCGCGGGUUCCCAUAGCCGCGCCCCGCUCCUCGCUCGCCGGGGCCGAGAGGCUGCGGCAGCGCGGGCAGCGACGCCUGCAGAGCCGCGCCCAGGCCCGGGCACCGCCGACGGGAGGUUGAAUUUGACCGGUUCAGCCCCAGUGUCUUCCAGGACUCCUGGCCCAGAGUGGGGAAUUUGAGCUUUUCCACCAGAGGAGGAGGUGUGCAGAGCCACUGGGAGGCCGUGAGGAACCGCGCUAUAGCCGCUGGUGUGCGGUGUCAGGCGCGUGCCAUUCAGAACGCAUCCUCAUUGGGGAAUGAUUCAAAGGGAGAGGGGGUCUUUGGAAGAAUCGUUCCUACUCUGGGUAAAGAUAGGCCAGUCCCCUUGAGUGAUUCUAGACAGUCAGUAGGCUACAUGUUACGGCUGGAAGUCCACACCGAAGGUACAGAUAUUGAUAUUAUGAGUAUUAAUAUCUUAUAAUGUUCAAAAAAAGUAGUUCCGUAGAGACCACCAGUCACAGCCAUAGCCAGUAUGUAAGCUACUAAAUGCCUCAUAGCAACAUUAAAUACAGAGAUCAAUUUGUGAGACGACCACUUUAUUAAAUCACCAGGUGUUCAAAACAUUUGAAAAGAAGACUAUGACUGGGAAAUUACUGCUGUGUGUCCGACACCGGGG
rnacentral:lncRNA from 1 species